UACAGAGGUCUCAAGCGUUGUUCGGAUUCAUUGGGCGUAAAGGGUGCGUAGGUGGCGCCGUAAGUCGGGGGUGAAAUUUCGGAGCUUAACUCCGAAACUGCAUUCGAUACUGCGGUGCUUGAGGACUGGAGAGGAGACUGGAAUUCAUGGUGUAGCAGUGAAAUGCGUAGAGAUCAUGAGGAAGACCAGUGGCGAAGGCGGGUCUCUGGACAGUUCCUGACGCUGAGGCACGAAGGCCAGGGGAGCAAACGGG
rnacentral:rRNA from 1 species